rnacentral:rRNA from 1 species
CCUACGGGAGGCAGCAGUGGGGAAUAUUGCACAAUGGGGGGAACCCUGAUGCAGCGAUGCCGCGUGGGUGAAGGAGGACUUCGGUAUGUAAAGCUCUAUCAGCCGGGAAGAAAAUGACGGUACCUGACUAAGAAGCCACGGCUAACUACGUGCCAGCAGUCGCGGUAAUACGUAGGGGGCGAGCGUUAUCCGGAUUUACUGGGUGUAAAGGGAGUGUAGACGGGAGUGCAAGUCCGAAGUGAAAGCCCGGGGCUUAACCCAGAGACUGCUCUGGAAACUGCAAAGCUUGAGUGAAGGAGAGGCAGGCGGAAUUCCUGGUGUAGCGGUGAAAUGCGUAGAUAUCAGGAGGAACACCGGCGGCGAAGGCGGCUUGCUGGACCGUAACUGACGCUGAGGCUCGAAAGCGUGGGGAGCAAACAGGAUUAGAUACCCGGGUAGUC